GACGAACGCUGGCGGCGUGCUUAACACAUGCAAGUCGAACGGAAAGGCCCUGCUUUUGUGGGGUGCUCGAGUGGCGAACGGGUGAGUAACGCGUGAGUAACCUGCCCUUGACUUUGGGAUAACUUCAGGAAACUGGGGCUAAUACCGGAUAGGAGCUCCUGCUGCAUGGUGGGGGUUGGAAAGUUUCGGCGGUUGGGGAUGGACUCGCGGCUUAUCAGCUUGUUGGUGGGGUAGUGGCUUACCAAGGCUUUGACGGGUAGCCGGCCUGAGAGGGUGACCGGCCCCAUUGGGACUGAGAUACGGCGCAGACUCCUACGGUAGACAACAGUGGGGAAUAUUGCACAAUGAGCGGACGCCUGAUGAGGCAACGCCGCGUGCGGGAUGACGGCCUUCGGGUUGUAAACCGCUUUCGCCUGUUACGAAGCGUGAGUGACGGUAAUGGGUAAAGAAGCACCGGCUAACUACGUG
rnacentral:rRNA from 1 species